AUUGAACGCUGGCGGCAUGCCUUACACAUGCAAGUCGAACGGUAACAGGUCUUCGGAUGCUGACGAGUGGCGAACGGGUGAGGAAUACAUCGGAACGUGCCCGAUCGUGGGGGAUAACGGAGCGAAAGCUUUGCUAAUACCGCAUACGAUCUACGGAUGAAAGCAGGGGACCGCAAGGCCUUGCGCGAACGGAGCGGCCGAUGGCAGAUUAGGUAGUUGGUGGGAUAAAAGCUUACCAAGCCGACGAUCUGUAGCUGGUCUGAGAGGACGACCAGCCACACUGGGACUGAGACACGGCCCAGACUCCUACGGGAGGCAGCAGUGGGGAAUUUUGGACAAUAGGCGAAAGCCUGAUCCAGCCAUGCCGCGUGCAGGAUGAAGGCCUUCGGGUUGUAAACUGCUUUUGUACGGAACGAAAAGACUCUGGUUAAUACCUGGGGUCCAUGACGGUACCGUAAGAAUAAGCACCGGCUAACUACGUGCCAGCCGCCGCAGUAAAAC
rnacentral:rRNA from 1 species